rnacentral:rRNA from 1 species
CAAAGGAGCAAUCCGCUGAAAGAUGGGCUCGCGUCCGAUUAGGUAGUUGGCGGGGCAACGGCCCACCAAGCCGACGAUCGGUAGCCGGACUGAGAGGUUGAACGGCCACAUUGGGACUGAGACACGGCCCAGACUCCUACGGGAGGCAGCAGUGAGGGAUAUUGGUCAAUGGGGGAAACCCUGAACCAGCAACGCCGCGUGAGGGAAGACGGUUUUCGGAUUGUAAACCUCUGUCCUCUGUGAAGAUGAUGACGGUAGCAGAGGAGGAAGCUCCGGCUAACUACGUGCCAGCAGCCGCGGUAAUACGUAGGGAGCAAGCGUUGUCCGGAUUUACUGGGUGUAAAGAGUGCGUAGGCGGCUUUGCAAGUCAGAAGUGAAAUCCAUGGGCUUAACCCAUGAACUGCUUUUGAAACUGCAGAGCUUGAGUGGAGUAGAGGUAGGCGGAAUUCCCGGUGUAGCGGUGAAAUGCGUAGAGAUCGGGAGGAACACCAGUGGCGAAGGCGGCCUGCUGGGCUCUAACUGACGCUGAGGCACGAAAGCGUGGGUAGCAAACAGGAUUAGACACCCUGGUAGUCCACGCUGUAAACGAUGAUUACUAGGUGUGGGUGGACUGACCCCAUCC